AGAACAAACGUGUCCGCAAAUCUGGAUCAAAAAUGAAGACCGGUGUUAUUUCAUAUCCAAGAUCGCAAAUACUUAUGAUGGAGCGAGGCAACAUUGUUCAGAAUUUGAUUCAGGGCUCCUCGAAAUAAAUUCAAACAAGGAAAAGAAUUUUGUUUCUAAUGCUGUCUAUCAAUCUGUAUCAUACUGGAUCGGAAAAUGCGCAAACAGAAAUGUGGCCUCUGAUCUUCUGUACAAGAUAUCCUAUGGGUCGACCAGCUGCAGUAACUGCGGCUCGUACGGGAGUUAUAAUUGCAAAUGGAAACACAGAUUCAUCUGCGAGAAGUCGGCACAUUUAGACACGGAUAUUCCUGAAGAGAUCCAAGGUUUCUGUCAACAGCCCGUGGGGCCGAGUUCAAUCAACUGACUGCACCUCACUUCUCGCCAUUCAAUCUGCCCCACUCUCAAACCAUUUCUACAUCUCCCCCUUUCUACUGUUUUUUCUCUUUUUACCCUUCAUCUCUCUAACUCACUCCCUUUCCACCCCUCCUCUCCCGAUCGAACCCCAGUCUCUGCCUCUCCUCUCUCCGUUCUCUAUACACACUCUCAACCAAGGGGAAAAAAGACUGUGCACAUUCACCCUAUCUGUGCCCCUCCUGGCUUCAUACCCACGCUCCAACGAAUAUAGACACAUCCUUCUU